rnacentral:lncRNA from 1 species
GGGGAUUUAUAUCCGCACAUCCAGGUGGUAGAACCACUUCUCUUUCAAAGAUGGACUGGGGAAAGACAUGAAGUUCAGAGCAGCCCAGGGCUGCGGAUCUAGCCUUUCUCCCUCUAGUCUCCAGACCCACUCAGAUCCAGGCAGCCGAGCGGAGACCGCACGGAGUCCCGGAGCGCAGCUCAGGCCCGGCCACCAGUUGCUGAGACGGGAAGGAAAACACUUCUUUGGAGGAGCAUGACCUUUUCCGAUAUUGUUUCCCACCACUGCCACUGAACUUCCUGAAUCUUGGCCCCAGACACCAUCAGCAAGAAGACCUUCUGGCUGGGCUACCUAUCCCUUGAGAAAGGAGGAACAUCAACUGCAGUUUCUCACUAGAUUGCCUUCUUCAUUUCAAGUAAUGGCUGCCAUCAGGGCCAGAUUAAAGACAGACCAGCUGGACAAAACUGGAGGACUAAACCUAUAAGGGCACCAAAUUGUCCAUAGAGUGCUGAAACAUCCAUGGAAAUAUAAAGAUGGAAAAUAAUACUAGCACUUAUUUUAGGGAGAAUUCUGUGUGGAAUUGGAAGGAAUGUUUUGCUAAAUUCCUUAGGAGUAGAAAGUAAGGAGUAAUCAAAUAUAGAGGAGCAUGGGGAUGUUUUAUUACAGGGCUUCUAUUGGUCCUACUGAGAUAUAUAAUUUGGGUGCCCCAUCUGGAUUGUUUGUGACCAUGGAGGGUAGGAAGACUACCCCAGUGGUUCUCCUGCUUGGUUCUUCACCACACAGAACUUAUUCUGUCCACAAACAAAGAUCUGGCAAGUAGUGGUUUGAAGGAAACACCAAUUUAUUAGUCUACAUAUCUCCACACUGUAGGGCUUGAAAAUGAAAACAUAAUCAUAGACUUUCUUCCAUUUCUAGGAUGUUAGCCCUUAGUAUAUCUUCAUUCACUUGAGGGUAAAUAUUAACUAAUACAGUAGAUCAAGUCAAAUAAAGCUUGAACUCCUUGCCUAUGGACUGGGUGAUCAUACUCUGUGUUAAUUUGAUCAAUGGAGACAGUAGAUAGAGUUGAGAUCUUUAAAAAUAUUUGGCUGAGGAUGGUAUUACUGGUAAUUUGCAGAUGAGGAUGUCAAGAAACAUUCUUAGAAUCAUGAAAUAUGGAACUGAUUGUCACAUUAAAAAAUUCAACAAAUAGUUAAGUAUCUGCUGGACACUGGAGACUUAGGUGUAAGACAGACAUGCUUCUAGGGAGACUGGAUAGUGCAGUAGUUUGAGCAUCUGACUCUUGACUUUGGCUCAGGUCAUGAUCUCAGUGUCAUGAGAUCAAGCCCUGCACUGGGCUCUGCACUGAGCAUGGAGUCCGCUUGGGACUCCCACUCUCCCUCUGCCCCCCUUCACCUCCCAGCUCUCUCUCUCUCUCUCUCUUUCUCUUUCUCUCAAAAAUAAAUAAGGUAGACCUGUUCCCUACAUCAUAGAGCUUACAUUCUAGCUUUCUCUUGUAUGUGAACAACAGUGGCCACAACAAACAAGUGAACACAAAGAUAUUCUCAAGUCCAAGAUUCCAAUUAAUAUAGCAAUUCUUAUUGCCUUAAUCAAGCCUGGUCGAGCGUGCAUUUAUAAGACUUAAAAGUCUACAUUCUAUAAAUGCUCUCUGAACCUGCCUGGACUGUUUCCCUAGUGAGCUGUGUAAAAUUCCAUGGUGCCAGAGGAAGGGGUUAGGUUUAGUUAGGGCUUCUGGGGAGAGAGAUCAAGUGACAUGGGUCAGGAAAUAUGAAGGGAUAGAAUUCAAGAAACAGCUAUUGCUUCUAUUCUAUGUGGGGAAAUUGUAGGGUGAAAAAUACUAGGCUGGGAACUGUGAAACCCAGAUCUUUAUUCUAAUACUAAUGACCUAUGUGACUGUGGGCAAGUCAUGUCACAUUUCACUUGGAGGCCUCUUAGGUGAUCCAAGACCCCUUCUAGCUCUAAAAAUGCCAACAUCAGGCCCCAGUCUACUGGAAAACUUGCCAGUUUCUAACUCAACUUUUCUUAAGCAGUUAGGUCAAGUAGAUCUGCAAUAGACACUUGACUGAUUUUUUGUUUUGUUUUGUUUUGUUUUUAGAGGAGUAGGAUACUAUGAAUCUGCUUCUCCCCUUAGGAGUUGAGCAGAUUCUAUAAACAUUCCCUGUAGAGCUCACAGAGGGUUUUACCCUCCUUUACAAUUUCUUCUAGCUGUGUCUUUCUCCCUCUCCUUUCCUUGAUCACACUUCCACUGAGCAUAUACCAUGUGAAAUGUACCAGAUGUGUGCUAGGUUUGGAGAUACAAACUAAACCUGACACUUUUCUACACUCCAGAAGCUUUCCCAUGAGAGAGUAUAAAACCUUCUUCCUUUCAUCUGCUGACUUUUCUUUUGAUGCGAAUCAGUCAUGUCCCAGGAGAGUGUGCUGGUGGCCCUACCAGGGUAACCAGUUCUAAGCCCAUUCUUCUCAAGCAAUUUUGAGUUGCCUUGGUAUACACAUCUAGGUAAUCACUUAGACUAGGGUUACCAUGAAAAGAUCUAUGUCCAGAUAUAAGGAAGAGAAAGUCAUUUACUUAUUGGGAUAAAUCUGUAGAAGAAUGGUCCUCUAUACAGUGAUGGCCCACUGUCUACCCCAUCUCCUGCAACCAUCUCUGCCCAGGUGGGGAGAAUCUAGGUGAUUACUUACCAAACUUUAAAAAAACCUCUUUCAAUAAAUAGACAUCUUUCAUGCAUACUGCGUUUCAUAUAUUCAUAAUGGCUGGUGGCCUCUUUACGUAUAUGUCUCAAUAUCAGAUGGCUGAUAGGACUUACAAGAGAAGGGAAACAAAGGGCUUGGUAACUCACAUAUGUGCAAAGUUGACCCUGCAAUAACUGAUGGCAUUCAAAUAUUAUAGUGAGUGUCACUCCAAUUAAGCAGAAGUGGUAUCAGUAAAUUUACAUAACUCUAAACAUUCUAGUGGAAAAGGGCACGUUCUCCCUCCCACCCCCAUGCACUAAAAGAGCUGUAGCAGAAAAGGAAAUGUUCUGUGGACCAUCUCAGAUUUCCAAAUAUGUGGAUACUGGCCCUUGUGAAGGACAAAAACUACAGAUGAUGGGGUGGUCUUUCCAACUCCCAUUUGCAUAGUCUGAAAUUUUAUAGCUCUAGCCAUUGACUCUAAGCCAAUUUACAUUUGUUUUCUUUAUCCCUCUUGAGAGAAAAUAAAAAUCUUAUUUUUCCAAGCAAUUAAAACUCUUCUGCUUCAGCUAGAAUGAAAGAAUUAGGAGUUCUGUCUCCUUGUAUAUAAUUGCAUGUUUCAUCUUUGUUGUUUAAUGAUUGGCAGAAAACUGAUAAACUCAGACAUCUCUGAAUCAGAGGUAAAUGUACUCUCUUGGUGGCUCCAUUGCUAAUUUGUUUGACUAUUUUGCAGGAUUUCUUACUUUGUAAUGGAAAGGUUUAUUAAAUAUGAGGGGUGAAAAGC